GAUCCUGGCUCAGGAUGAACGCUGGCGGCGUGCUUAACACAUGCAAGUCGAGCGAAGCACUCUGCUUUGAUUCUUUCGGGAUAAAGAGCAUUGUGACUGAGCGGCGGACGGGUGAGUAACGCGUGGGUAACCUGCCUCAUACAGGGGGGAUAACAGUUAGAAAUGGCUGCUAAUACCGCAUAAGACCACAGCACCGCAUGGUGCAGGGGUAAAAACUCCGGU
rnacentral:rRNA from 1 species